rnacentral:sRNA from 1 species
AGACAGAUCAUUUCUUUACACCUGGAAGUAUUAGAGAACGUCAGACAGAAAUUGGCAAGUCUGGACAAAUCAAUCAAAGACGUAAUAGAAAAGGGAGAGAAGUGGCUUAACGAGGACGACAAUGUUCAGACGUUUGUACAAAUGAAUCAGAUGAUAGUGGAUGAGAACUCUCGCUGUCUGAGAACUUGCCGAGACAUUGCAAAUGAAAAGGAAGAAACUGACCCGACAACUAAAGAUGAGGGUCUGAACACAGAAAUAUCUGAAACUAAGCCAGAUUUAACUUCAACAGUC